GAUGAAGAACGCAGCGAAAUGCGAUAAGUAGUGUGAAUUGCAGAAUUCAGUGAAUCAUCGAAUCUUUGAACGCACAUUGCGCCCCUUGGUAUUCCAUGGGGCAUGCCUGUUCGAGCGCCAUUUGUACCCUCAAGCUUUGCUUGGUGUUGGGCGUUUUGUCUGUUUAUUCAGACUCGCCUUAAAGUAAUUGGCAGCCAGUGUUUUUGGUAGUAAGCGCAGCACAUUUUGCGUCUUAGUCUCUAAACAGUGGCAUCCAUGAAGCCUCUUUCUCACUUUUGACCUCGGAUCAGGUAGGGAUACCCGCUGAACUUAAGCAUAUCAAUAAGCGGAGGA
rnacentral:misc_RNA from 1 species